UACGUAGGGUGCGAGCGUUAAUCGGAAUUACUGGGCGUAAAGCGUGCGCAGGCGGCGCGGUAAGUCAGGUGUGAAAGCCCCGAGCUUAACUUGGGAAUUGCGCUUGUGACUGGCGUGCUGGAGUGUGGCAGAGGGAGGUGGAAUUCCACGUGUAGCAGUGAAAUGCGUAGAGAUGUGGAGGAACACCGAUGGCGAAGGCAGCCUCCUGGGCCAGCACUGACGCUCAUGCACGAAAGCGUGGGGAGCAAACAGG
rnacentral:rRNA from 1 species